AUGAUAUCCCUUUACUUACUAGUUUUAUUUAUUUGAAUUAGUCUGAAGCAAAACAAAGGGCACAAAGGAAAGUGACAAAACGAUAGUCAGGUGGUUAGUAAAUGGACAAAUUUUGUUUGCUACGAGACGGGUUUCUUGUCUUGAACGCUGAAGAUUCCAGGAAUUACUUUAAAAAACAACCUCCAUGAAUUCAAAGGUGUCAGCCAAUUCCUAAGAAACUGAGCUAUGUAAGUAUUGCAGCAAGACGCAAAAAAAUGUGAAAUAUGUUCACACCGACAAUUUUGGGGUUGGCUAAUGAGUUCCCUGGUUUGCUUAAUGUUCCGGCAUUCGGCCUCCUUUGCAGGGAUUGUCUUCCAAAUUGAUGAGGAGCCUUGAAACCCCACUUUCCACAGAGGUUCUCUUCACCCCUCCUCCAUGAUCUGCCACUACUUUGAUUCCUCCUUCUUCCAGGACCUCUACUAUCAACGUCAUCUCUCAAAAUUCGAUUUACACCCUUCAAAACUAGAUCAUUUCAUCUGUCUUGAUUGCUGUUGAUUCUUUCAACGCUGUUACACAAGGUAAUGGUGUCUUUCAAAUGGAGCGGUGGAGUUUUUUCUGAAAGCUUUUGGUAAACAUCUUUAUCCUUGCCUUUACAAGUGAUCAGACUGAUCAAUCAAUCUUCUGACUUCAUCUCGUAGAUGUUGGCAUCAUCUGCUAACAUUUUUAACUCACAAUAGAAUUCUUCGAUUGUUUCAAAAUUUGCUUGCUUAUAUUC
rnacentral:lncRNA from 1 species